rnacentral:ncRNA from 1 species
AAUAUAGAGUGGCUUUUAGGUGUAAUCAUUUUUAAAAGGGAAUCAGGUGAAAAUCCUGAGCGGUCCCGCCACUGUAACUGGGAUUGAAGAUUUAAUUAACCACUGGGUUUAAUCCGGGAAGGUAAAUCUUCUUAUACCAGAAGCCAGGAAACCUGCCUAUUAGCUGUACUCAAU